rnacentral:rRNA from 1 species
UACGGGGGGGGGCAAGCGUUGUUCGGAAUUACUGGGCGUAAAGGGCGCGUAGGCGGCCUACUAAGUCGGACGUGAAAUCCCUCGGCUCAACCGAGGAACUGCGUCCGAUACUGGCGAGGCUUGAAUUCGGGAGAGGGAUGUGGAAUUCCAGGUGUAGCGGUGAAAUGCGUAGAUAUCUGGAGGAACACCGGUGGCGAAGGCGGCAUCCUGGACCGGUAUUGACGCUGAGGCGCGAAAGCGUGGGUAGCAAACAGG